rnacentral:lncRNA from 1 species
UGGAGAGUACGGUGUAGGAUCCUUAAUUCACAACAGGAAGCUCAGAAGUGCACAAGGAGUGACAAAUGACAACAGCAUAACAAUUGGCAUAACAUUAGGAGAUAGCAAGGUAGCAGUAUAAAUUAAAUUAUAUUCUAAUUCAGAUUAAGAAUAAAAACUUGGCAGGUCAUGUACUGUGUAGAACAGAUAGCUCAUGGUACAGGAGAGUAACAGAAUGGGUCCCAAAGGCGAGAUAAUACAGUCAACAAAAGAUUAGAUGAAGUGAAAAGACUAGAAAAUUUAGAGGGUUGGAUUUGGCUGGCUCAGAAAAAGGAGUAGUUGGAGAACUCUGGGAGAAAGCUUUAUCCUACAGUAAACACAAAUCAGCUCAGAAUGAUCUUUACAUGUUUAAAAAAACACUAAGGAGAAAAAGCAGGCCAAUUUGCAUUAGCAAGCUACCCUUCUACCAGUACAAUAAAGCCACUCUUAUCGCGAGAGGAGGCUUAGUAAGCCAGAAAAGUGAAAGACUGGCGACAACAAUGCCUUGAAGUUCUUGCACCAACUGAAGGCAAUCACGGAUUUUGAUGGCGGAAGCUCAGGCCUAAUUAAUUGCUUAUCAGUAAAAAAUAGACUACAUUGUAUUCUUCAUGAGUCAAGAAUUGAACUUUACAAGUUUCGGCAACUUUUACUGCACCAAAAAGUGUUUUUUUUUUUGUGUGUGUGAUGCGUGAAUCCCACCACAAAGGCAAAAAUAUGAAAAAAUACUUUUACAUCCAUGACAUCACACUAAUGUACUCGUGAUGAUGUUUUGAUGCAAAAUUUAAAACAAAUUGAAGUUAAAAGCUAUUUUCUUCCAGUGCUCAAGCUCCUGCUGUGAAAUUAACAAAAAUAGAUUUCUGAAAGAACAUUAUCUGUUUACAUCGAUUUAGUGUUUCUCUUUAAUGUCCCGCCAAGUCUCCUAAACACUAAAUGAAGUGACCACUAUGAAUGAGCAUUCAAGGCUAGCACAGAUGAAUUACGCUUGCAGUGUCUCCCUGCCAUUAGAAUGACAUACAUGACAACCAUGACAAAGCAAAAGCAGCUCUGUACUCAACUAUCAAGCAAUAGUGCUGCAAUGCAAGAAAGGCUAGUACAGCAAAUGAUGCAAGCAUUUGGAACAUUCUCUGGAGUUAUCACUAAUGCAAUGCUGAGCACUGCACAAGCAAUGGUCCACAUGACAAGAGCUAUACUCAGUGUUUCAUACUUAACAGGCAACAUAACGGAAGCUACGCAACUAGUCCUGUCAUAAAGGUCUCACUCCGUGCCUUUCCCAGGUCAUUUGUUUUUGAUCUGCGACGUUUUCUACAGAAGAUCUACUUGUGAAAGCAAGUUUAUGUCAAAUCACAUUACUCAUGCACAUUUGCGCUUCCAGUAUAGGCAACAUACUAUAUUUUGGUUGUGAGUGCUGUGGCCACUGGGCGCAUAAAUAUGUCAUUCAGCUCGUAUGGUGGUAAAUGAGUUCAGAUAUCGGACACCUCUCAUGCAAUAAAUACGUCAUAUUUUGGGACUUCAAAGUAUGAAACUUAAUUUUACAUCAAAUUAUAUUAUUGGUCGCGAAUGUGAGCAAUGAGAUAAGUUUUAUCAUUUUUCUUAAAUGCCUCUCCGAUUGCACAGCAUAAUAAAAAUAAGUGCCUGAUCAGCAUGGGUACAGCACAUGAUGCCUUGUCUUUUUGUAUGCGCAGUAAGUUUCUAUUUGCAUUAAUUUUUCAGCACACAGUCUUUUUUACUUAUUUCAUUCUUGAUUAUUUCAUGCCUCGUGCCUUGUUUCCUGCCGGCUGUCAAAUAUGUUAUUGAACACACAAAUGUUAACACAGUGUUUGUUAUGAAUGUGUACUAGCUGCACUUUAUGUAUUUAUUUCUUAAUUUAUCUCCCAACUGUAAUACUGCAUAAGCCCUGAGGGUACUAAAUAAAUAAAUAAUAAAUAAGUCUAUCUCCAGCCUUCGUAGCAUUGCCUGCUACAUGUGUAACAGAUUACUAUAUAUAUCCAAAGACAGGAGGAUUACAGUCUUGCAACAACCUCUUACAUUUUCAUGCAAAUCAAUGGAACGAGAGAAGUCCUUGUGUGAUGCAUGAAUGACCAUUAACACAAAGCAUGAAAGUAGGCCUAAGGCAUUAUGUGCGAACAGUGCAGAAAGGCUAGUGCAAAUUAGUACAAAUGUUCCGAGUUGUUAAAUAGACACGAGAGAAAAACUAUAAGAAAUAAAAUACAUAGAGUAUAGAAACGUGAAACGCUAACCAGGUACUUUUCAUUCAGCUGAAAAAAAAAAAAAAACACAUAAGGCACCUUCUAGUGCUUUUCUGACUUCAUAAACAAUAGAAAGCAAACUAAACAGAUACACAAUGAAGAGGUGGACCUGGAGUGAUGAGAUCUGAAAUGAGAUCUAGCAGUCUGCUAGCAAGAAAAGGCAAUCACUUUCAGCUUGAAGUGAGUUAUUGGCCACAGUGAGCCACAAGGCCUCCAGGAUAUGUGUGUUAAAAACCAAGCUAUGCUCAAGAUAAACUUUAGACAGUAUACACACUAACAUUAAACACAGGGUCGAGAAAAAUGCUCGGCACAUUCAAACCUCAAAUCUGCUCCACAGCAUGGCCACAAGAUAGCAAUGCCAAAGACAAGCUCUACCACUACAUACGUAACUAAGCUUGCAACAUAUUUUGCUUUAGAUUUCUGUAAACCCAGCAGCUUCCCAUUCCCUGAUAAAAAAACAACUAUCCAAUCAACAUCUCAUGACAUGAAAUCAGGCCUUCACUGACAAUAUUACACAAUAUGUCAAUAAACUCUGUAGUUCUCCAUGAACCAAGAUUCAUGCACUUGAUGGGCGAAGGAAAACAGAAUGUAAUUGCAGUAACUGUUCACCUGAGUGGUUGCAUUUUAAUUAUGCCUAUGGACACAUAAAAAGAAAACAAAACAUAGAUAUUCCUAUUUUAGCAGCAACUACAUACAUUUAUAACACACAGUAACUGAAACACUGAAAGAAAUGUCAGCAGCUGGAUCUUCUAUGAGCAGAAUGUUUUGGCUUAAAUUUGCUUAUUCUUUACACCAAGAACUUGAUUAUCGCAAGCAAAUACCAUCAUAGACCAACUGUAUAAAAACAAGGGGAGGGGGGGCUGUAGUAGAUGCUUCCUCACGAAACAUAUUACAGGUUAUACAACAGCACCAAGGUAAACUUGUCAGGUCCCAAAGCCCACUGUGCUGACAUUCAGUCAUGCUUUGAAAAGACAGCAGGCAUACACAAGUGCAAUACACUCAGUAGCAACAUCAAACAAUAUCAAACGCAAAGACCAAGUAUCCAAUCAACAUCUCAUGAUAUGAAAUCAGGCCUUAAUGCCAACUGCAAAACAGUGUUGGACUGCAUAAAAAGCCUAGUUUCAAUUAGCAUAGGUAUAAAGCAGCCCCCGAGCAAAAUUUUCAUUUGCAAUAUCAGUGGAUGCAUCAUGGAAACCUAGCAAAUACAUAGUUUUUGCUUUGUUUUGCUUGAAAAUCUUGGGAGGCGACAUGCUGGCAUUUGAAUCAUAUCGCUAACCACCAUGUGCAUGCAUUGUCUGCUUAGGUGCUAUUCAAAGGCUGCUAAUAAGAACAUUAGACAUUUGCCAGCCUUGCCAGCUUUGCAAAGCUUAUUUCCAUGCUACAUACUCUACAUGUUCGUCAAAGUGAAAUUAUGUCACAGUAGUCCUUUAAUUCAGUCUACAGAGUGUAAAGCUUCAAUUAUUCCCUCAAGCAAAGAGGCAGCCAUUAGAUGCUUUAAUGUUUCUCAAAUGCAAUGUCAACUAUAUUGUGAGCAUAAGACAUCCUGUAUCAGUGCACCAUAGGUCUGAGCUGACUUUUUCAUUUAUUGCUUGCAAUACCUUAUAGGUACGCUUUAAAAUGUGUGAAGAUUUUCAAUUAUUGACCACAAUGAGCAGAGAAAGGUGCAAGAAAUUAUUUCUUUCCACCUGUUUUUUCAUUAUUGUUGGGUUCAUAUUUUUGUGAAGGUAUAAAAAAAAAUAUCACCGCCCCUUCAACUCAAGACGGUCGAACAGCAAAUCUGCCUCCCGGUGCUGCCGAUGUGUUUCUGCGCCUCGGUUGGCACUUUGGGAUCGGCCUCCCGGCACUGCCGUUUAAACUCAGCAUCUCUGGCACGCAGCUCGGGGUCGACCAUACGACGACGAGCCCGUUCACGAACCAACUCUCGCUCACGCUCGCAGUAGGCAGCUUCUUCCUCAGGAGUACACACUACUAGUGGUCUUUCCAUAGUUGUAGCUGGGAUGAAAUGUGCAGGACCACUAACCUAAAGCCCCAUAUAUACAACCAACGCUAAUGCGAACUCCUCUCACACCCUACUCCUCCAUUGACCUACUUUUUUCCUACACCACCAUUCAUUGGCACGCCUCACGCUGUCCCCCUCGAACAUGAGUAUUAGAUGGCGCGAUUUACAUCAACCCCCCUUCCCGUUCUCCUUUUCAUCUGCACACUUCUCACAGCUCUGUUGAUCCUAGCAAAGUCCUAUGUAUUUUAAUAGAGAAACGAAUUAUAAUUCCAAAAACGGCGCAAUGGUUAUUUUGAACAAAAUUUCUUGCUCCCAUGAACUGCUUUUUGGCGAAACCCGAGCCAAAGGCCAAGGUUCGAUUCGUCACUAGCUAUCUUAACGUCCCGUGCCAUAAACAUGACUAAGAAAGACGUGUGGGAAGCCGAGACUGAACUGGAGUAAGCCAAGUGGCGUCGCACUCUCCUUUCUCAUCUGGCUUAAAAGGAGCACAGAAGAGCGCCCUAGCGCGUGCUUCAUCACAUUACUGGGCGCGCCAAUGGUCUGUAAAAUCUAGAGGUCUGUAAACGUUUGAUGCCGACUGUAAUUAUGAUUACCAGCUUUCAUACUACAUCAAAUUGAUAAGCACCAUUUCAUCUAUUGGUUGGCACUCAUAAAGCAUAUGCAGCAUCUCUAACAAUAAUCUGCCGAUAUUUAGUCACUUGACUUAAAUUAAUAAGACUAAGACACAUGAAAUUUAAUUCCUAGCUUUUUGAUGAAAUUAUGCUGAAGAGGGUACCCUAUACUGAGUGGGUAGUUACGCACACACCUCGA